CUAACCCUAAACCCUAUCGAACCCUAAAUCCUACCUAACCCUAAACCCUAAACCCUACCUAACCCUAAACCUUAAACCCUACCUAACCCUAAACCCUAAACCCUACCUAACCCUAAACCUUAAACCCUACCUAACCCUAAACCCUAAACCCUACCUAACCCUAAACCUUAAACCCUACCUAACCCUAAACCCUACCUAACCCUAAACCUUAAACCCUACCUAACCCUAAACCCUGUCUAACCCUAAACCCUGCCUAACCCUAAACCCUACCUAACCCUAAACCGUACUAACCCUAAAAAAGCCUGCCUAAAACCUAACCUUAAACCCUAAUUAAACCCUAAACCCUACCUAAACCUAACCCUAAA
rnacentral:lncRNA from 1 species